GAUGAACGUUGGCGGUGUGCCUAAUACAUGCAAGUCGAACGGUGAUUAUUUUGUAGUAAUACGAGAUAAUUAUAGUGGCGAACGGGUGAGUAACGCGUUGGUGAUCUGCCUCGAAGUGUGGAAUAACGUUCCGAAAGGAACGCUAAUACCGCAUGUGCUCUCAGUUUUUAGAAAGUUGAGAGUAAAGGAUUUAUUCGCUUCGAGAGGAGCCUGCGUCCCAUCAGCUAGUUGGUAGGGUAACAGCCUACCAAGGCAAUGACGGGUAGGGGACCUGAGAGGGUGGCCCCCCACAAUGGAACUGAAACACGGUCCAUACACCUACGGGUGGCAGCAGUAGGGAAUAUUAGAAAUGGACGAAAGUCUGAUCUAGCGACACCGCGUGUGCGAAGAAGGCCCUUGGGUUGUAAAGCACUUUUUGGAAGGAAUAGGAAGGAAGGUACUUCCAGAAUAAGUCUCGGCUAACUACGUG
rnacentral:rRNA from 1 species